AUUGAACGCUGGCGGCAGGCCUAACACCUGCAAGUCGAACGCGUGGCGGACGGGUGAGUAAUGUCUGGGAAACUGCCCUAUGGAGGGGGAUAACUACUGGAAACGGUAGCUAAUACCGCAUACCAUCGGAUGUGCCCAGAUGGGAUUCGCUAGUAGGUGGGGUAACGGCUCACCUAGGCGACGAUACAUAGCUGGUCUGAGAGGAUGACCAGCCACACUGGAACUGAUACACGGGCAAGACUCCUACGGGAGGCAGCAGUGGGGAAUAUUGCACAAUGGGCGCAAGCCUGAUGCAGCCAGGCCGCGUGUAUGAAGAAGGCCUUCGGGUUGUAAAGUACUUUCAGCGGGGAGGCGUUACCCGCAGAAGAAGCACCGGCUAACUCCGUGCCAGCAGCCGCGGUAAUUC
rnacentral:rRNA from 1 species